UAAAUAAUUGGUAUUUAGAAUACAGUUACAUUGUUGAAAUCAAUGGAUUACACGAUGAUACUUCUUUGUGUCACAAGUUUAUUCACUCUUGGAACUCCAUGCAUUUCCCAGAAGCCCCAAUAUAAAAAC